AUGAUCUCCGUUCACCACUGAUAUGGGCCUUAAUAAUGUUUCUUUUAUAUAAAUUUAUCCCUUAUGUAUGGUGCUAGAUUAAUGAUAUUUGUCCAUGAAAACGAGUAAUGUCGUAUGUAAACAAAUACUUGCACCCUUCCAAAUUAUGUUUUUGGCCUUCCAUAUUGUGUUGGAACUAAGAUUAGAUGAUUAAACCUUCUUGUUUUUCUAUAAUUCUUCUGGAUGGAAGCAAUAUAAUUUCAAAUAUUGGAUGUUUGAUAAAUGUUUAAGGUGGUGGGUAGAGUGAGGGUGCGUUGGAGGAGGGGAGGAUCAAGAAAGAGGUGAGGGUGGCAUGGAUUCGACUGGAGUUAGACACUUAUGUCAGGAGCUUAACUUUUUUUAUUUUUAAAAAUUUUCUACUUUUAUUUUAUUUUCUUUGUUUUUCUUAAAGUUUUUGAGGAAUUUUUUUUACUUUGUAAUAGGGGGAAGGCUGAAGCUCUCUUUUAGAUUGAAAGAGAAUUUUGUUUUUUUUUUUUGUGUUUUUUGGUAAGAAAAAAGAAUUUUGUUUAGUGCCUGUAGAAUAUUGCAUCGCCGCUGGCUUCCUCUCUUAAGGGGUUAAGCUCUAGAUCAAUAAUUUUUUUACUCUGGAGGCUCUCAAUGACAACUCAUGACAAUAUUUUUUUUGUUCAUGGUUCGCAAGCUAAUCAAGUGAUGACUUUAAUUUAUGGGAUGACCGUAUUGCCGAUAGGCUUGCGACUAAUUAUUCAUAAACAUGGCCUCUGAAUUGCCUUCCUAGCAGCAACUUUAGAAUCCAAUACCACACUAUUUCUCUUUCUAAAGAUAGGAUGGGGCCAGCCUAAUUUCUUUUAUUCAAAAAUGAAUUAGAAAUUACAAAAUCGUAUGGGAAAAAAGGUCAGAGAUAGUUCAAUGUUUUUUAUAAAAGAUAACUGGUUUUAUUAUUGUUAUUGUCAUGAGUGAGAAAGAGAGUUUCUCACAUCAUAAUUACUCUGGUUUAAAUAUUUUGGGAUGGAUUAUGUGAAGUUUGAACUAGGAUUUUUGGUUGCUAAGCAAAGAAGUGUGACCAUUAAGGUAAUCUCUAAUUUUUGCCUUUCGAUUGUCACCACCAACUAUUUUUUUGUGAUUUUAUCCAUACGCUGGAAAGAUUUAUCAGUGAGAGAAGGCACGGCUUGUGGAGAUCAAGGGGUUGGAAUCGUCCCUGAUCUCCUGAUCCUAGGACUGGGGUGACAACUUUUAGAUAAAGUAUAUAUAUGUGGCUUUGGAAUGUAUAUUUUAUGGAUAUGGUCUUCAGACAGAAUUUCUUUGUUUAUUUCCUAUAUUAUAAUCAAAACAUUAUAAUGAAAUAAGUCAAAACUGGAAAACUUGAGAUAAUGACUGUGUUAAUCUUGUAGAAAUUGUCUCAUCAUGCAAUCGUUUAUUCAUAUGAUGUAUACAUCCUAUGUUAUUCGCACCAUACUAUGUCCUAAUUGUGUGUGUGACUUCUAAAUUGGAUUGACUUUGCUUUCAUACAAAUUGUUUUUAUGAGAUGACCAUGACCAUUCUCUCGAAACCUUGCUGAGAAAAAGACUCGAAGCUAUUUUUUUUUUUUUGUAAAAAAAAAUUGCUGAAGAAGGCUAAUGAUAUGAAUAUGAAUACGAGCAUUCAACAUGUUAUAAAAAUUGAUUCAUCAAUUAUGAAUGCAUAUAGCUGUGAAAAAUCUAACAGUAUAGUGCAAUGAUGCAUUGAGGAAGCUACUUUCGAAAUGUUUGGGUGCUGGGCUUGCAACAAGCUAAUGUAGGGUAUGUCAGAGCUAAGAACCUUGCUCCCUUGGACUCGGUUAUGAGUUGAGGUUGCACUUACUUUCUUCUAAUUGAGUGAUGAUUAAAGCAGCUUGAUAUAAUAUUUUUGUUUUCUUUUCUUGCUACCCAGAUAGCAUCAUCAUAAUGCCGCCCACCUUGUAUGGCAGUCAUUUCAACUGAGAUGACUCCCAUUACUAAGACAUGUCCCUGGAUUGUAGGUUGAUAACUAAAAUUAUUAGUUUUCUAAAUUUUGCCAGACGUGUCAACAGUGAAGGAAUAUGGCGUCUCUGCUGACAGCAUUUGCAUGGAGGUAACACCAUCAAAUGGUGAUGUCGAUGCACACAUUGAUUGGGAACCUAAAGAUAUUCUUGCAGUGGAUAAGGCUACGGUAAAUGGACGGAUCAAUUCAUCUAGAGAAUCCAAGUCAAGGAUGGGUUUCUUACAGAUGUAGGAUGGACUGAAGAAGUGGGGAAAAGCAUGCAAAGAGUAGUCCAAGAGAAUCUGCCAAAUCCGAGGUCGUCAUCACUUGGAUUUAUGGAGAAAGACUCCAUGUGCACCUCACCAAUCCUAGUCGGAUGGAUGUUACAGUCGGUGAGGAACAGGGGCUGAUAAUAGUUUAUCUCAGCUGUUAUCUGAACCUUAGUUAUGUGCCGAUCUGAUCGGCUUGAGCCUUGCCGAGCUAAGUUAGGAGAUUGAAAUUUAUGGCGGUAGCUACGCAUCGAGUACUUGUCUUAUCCGCUCCAUAUUUUAAAUACGCUCCAAAUCCAACAUAUAGUGUCCCGCAUCGGCUCCACAAGACAAAGUAAUUCUAUCCACUAGUCCCGCCCUUCUUUCCAAAACUGGCCAACCGGCCCAUCUAUAAAUAGGAGAGAAUAAAAGACCUCCAAGAUAAGCUUUCAAGCUCCACUCUCUCAUUUCUUUCUACUGUUCUUUGAUGACUAAUUUGAGCAACGAAGGUUCCUACCUAAAACAAUUUUUUUAAAGGACUUGAUUUGCAGAUUUUCUCUUAUUUGAUAAGGUCUGUGUCAAACUUCGGCCAUUACAGAUCUGCCUACUCCAGCACCAAGUUAGCCGCCAGCAACAACAUGUACAAAUAAUGAAAGCAGGAGCUUGAAUUGUUUUGAAGAUCUAUGCAAAGUAUGAUCUAAUGGUGGAUGUCAUGAAAGAAAAUCAAUCGUUCUUUCAGGUGAAUGAUAUAACCCUUAUCCGACUUGGAGUGAAUAGCAUAUAUAAUGUGAUAGUGCAAUCAACAAUUUUAUGAGCAUUUUUACUAAAAA